UGGACAUUUAGAUGCAAAGUUUACACAGCUGUUCAAUAGCUGGACUUCAGAUAAUGUUGAAAGCCUAGUUGGUCACAUGUUUUUAAAGAUCCACUGACACAUAAAACGUAAUUUUUAGAAUGUUUUUAAAAAACAAAAAUUCAGCCAGAAUGGACCCAUCCGUUUUUUCACCACACAUCAGGAUGCUGUCAUAUAUGGAUUUUUGGAUCUCCCGCCAUGAAAAUGUUCUCGAGGCAUACGUGUUGGAGAAGCAGGAAGUGACAUUUUUUUACAGAUGCCCACACUGGUUUGUUUAUAUCUGUUUUAGCACCAGGAAAGUAGCUAUUUUUUUCUGUGUGUUAGCCAAAAUGCCGGCUCGUCGUAUCGCUGGAUUUUGCUUGAACACUCGGGAGGAUGGAUUCACUCUUCACACUUUUCCAAAACACCCGGUUCGUCGUGAAAAAUGGAUUGCACAGGUGCAAAGAACGCGAGCUUUGUGGGUUCUAAAUGACAGGUAGGUGUGUAUAGAGCGGUUUAAAAAUAAAAAUAAAAAUAAAAAUAAUAGUUGGGGGGGACAAAUUUGUCUCACUGUUUAUAGCAUAUGUUAUGUGUGAAUUUAGAAUAAAUCCCCUUGUCAAACCAGCAAUAUAUAACAAAGCACUUGUAUUGCGUUUAAGACAAUUUAAUCACACACAAUACAAUACAACACAAAACAACUUCUCUGAAAGCAGCAAUAAUAAAAAGCUCUUCCGUGUCCAAUGACGUAAUCCUUCUCUCAGAACGUAACAAAAGAUUUGCGUCACAACUUCAUAAAGUACGUAAGUCAGGGGUGUCGAUGUCCGUGGCCCAGCAUUGUUGUCACUCGCCGGAGGCCCGGCCAACGUUGUCGUUCGCCGGCGGCCAUGUCGUUAUCCCUGACGCGGAGGUGGAUUCGGCGGGGAGAUGGUUUGGCCAAGUGUGGGGAGGUGAAAGGAACUUCCCCACCGCCCACCGGUGUCUGGGCACCCCUGAAGUAGUUACUUCGCCCGGCAUGGGUCCUCCUGAAUACGCUACAAACAUACGACUUGUAAAAGAGUUAGGAAAUCGAACAGUUAUAGACCUGUCAUUUUGAAUAUUUCAGCGGGUUCCUCGUCCGUGUGUCAGGGAGUCUGUUGUUAGUUAGAAGUGAUCCGCAUAUCAUCUAAAUAUGAUUCAAAACAAUAGGGUAAUCUUGCCCCGGUCACUUCACUCGAUUGUGAGAUCUUCUCUUGUUCAAAAAAGACCUUCAGUCUCAGAAGAGGUGCAGAAAAAUAUGAAAAUCUCUGUUGUUGUUACCACCAUCAUCGGCUGCCAUUUCUUUUUCCAGAAAUCUGGGAUGAAAUAGCACGUUUGAAAUCAGGAAAAGGCUAAUGAAGUUGUUGGCGUCUGGGUGAGGCACUUUUGAGUAUCAGUGUUACUGCGGCAGACUUGAGAAAUGACUGAAUAGAACCAGAGGUGAAAGGAAUGAAUAAUGGCAGUUAUGAGAGAUAUAACAAAGAGGGAAGGUGGACUAUGACCAGAGGGGAGCAUCAAGGCUUGGAUUGUUGAAUGACUCCGGAUAGGUCUGUAGCACAGGGAAGUUGGAAACAAGAGAGGUGUUUGGAAGGAUGGACGUUUACAACUGGGUUAACUCUCCUCCCCUGAUUUCUUUUUAGUGAGUGCCACUAGGGUGGCCAACAACCUUUGCUCAGCCAUGCAGUCAGCUUUCUUUCCUUUCAUGCUGUGUCUCCUGCAAAAAUUGUGAAAGCCUCCAUUUCCUCUUCCUCUUUUCAUCAUAACCCAUCAUCUUGUUUUCAUCUGCGUUUCUUCACAUAUUCCACACCUGAAUACUAUUGUGGAGGUACAUUUGUGUCACACCAGCGGCAGUAUCAAAGACACGCGUGACUAUUAGUGUUUAAAGGAAAGUGCUGGGGAAAAUAAUGGGUUGUUUUCAUGUGACGUCACAUGUUGUGCUGCCUCGGAUAGCAGCCAUUUUUUUUAAUCACUGAGCUCAUUACUCAUCUAUACGCAAGGUGGACGACAUGUUUCUAACUACAUUUAUUGAAAACGCGACCGACAGCACAUCAAGCCCUGACUGACUACUAGGCUAACUGGCAAACACACAAUAUGGGACUCAGGACUGCGUUACAAAGGCGCAGUAUUGUACCCUUGAUCUUUUAGUCUAUGUGACAGAAAUUAAGAAGGACGAGCAGUGGGAUCAAACACGUGUCUGCUCAAGACACUUCGUAAAUGGUCUUGUACUGGUUGCCAUUAGUCAGACUUUUUCCUGAUACCUGGAAAUCUCAAUCAAUUCCUAUUCUUGUCAGCAUGGAUUUGUGGGGGGUGAAGCGCUAAACCUGACAGCUGUUAAAAUGGAAGCAAACAUCAUGAGUGGGAGUGGUUGUGUUGCAUGGUGUUACACACCUAACACAAACAAGGAGAAAGUCUCAUGCUCAUGAGAAUUGCUGCUGCUGUGCGAACAAUGGCUCAGACAGAGGCGCAUGCUGCUCUCCAGAAGACCUGCAGGCACAACACAGGAUCCAGCUGCUAACUUUUGCUCUUACAGUUCAGGAUUCAUCAUCAGUUCACCAGGAAGUUGUCCUUUUUCAUUUGAACCAGCUAUUGUGGGAUAUUUUGCAUGUCAGGUCACGGGAGUGGUGGCUUAAGCAAGGAAGCAUCGACUUCCCUCCCCACAGCCUCUUCAUCCAGCUUUUCCGGGCAGGGGUGGAGGUUUCAGGGGGUGUUCCCAAACCAAUCGGGACUCAUAGUCUCUCCAGUGUGUCCUGGGUUGUUCAUGGGGCCACCUCCCAGACGGACGUGCCCGGAACGCCUCACCAGGCAUCUUAACAAGACGCCCGAGCCACCUCAUCUGGCUUCUCUCGAUGUGAACAGUUUAAAUGAAAGUAGAACUUUGAAGGAUAAUGUGAAAAGAAAAAUCUUACAUUUAAUUUGUAUGCUGAUUAAAACCACAAUUACC